AACGAACGCUGGCGGCAGGCCUCAAACAUGCAAGUCUAGGGGGCGUAGCAAUACGUCACCGGCGGACGGGUGCGUAACACGUGGGAAUAUACCUUUCGGUACGGAACAACGCAGGGAAACUUGCGCUAAUACCGUAUACGUCCUUACGGAGAAAGAUUUAUCGCCGAAGGAUUAGCCCGCGUUCGAUUAGCUAGUUGGUGAGGUAAUGGCUCACCAAGGCAACGAUCGAUAGCUGUUCUGAGAGGAAGAUCAGCCACACUGGGACUGAGACACGGCCCAGACUCCUACGGGAGGCAGCAGUUGGGAAUCUUGGACAAUGGGGGAAACCCUGAUCCAGCCAUGCCGCGUGAGUGAUGAAGGCCUUCGGUUGUAAG
rnacentral:rRNA from 1 species